rnacentral:rRNA from 1 species
CCUACGGGGGGCAGCAGUGGGGAAUAUUGGACAAUGGGGGCAACCCUGAUCCAGCCAUGCCGCGUGUGUGAAGAAGGCCCUCGGGUUGUAAAGCACUUUCAGUGAGGAAGAACGCCUGGUGGUUAAUACCCAUCAGGAAAGACAUCACUCACAGAAGAAGCACCGGCUAACUCCGUGCCAGCAGCCGCGGUAAUACGGAGGGUGCGAGCGUUAAUCGGAAUUACUGGGCGUAAAGCGCGCGUAGGUGGCUUGAUAAGCCGGUUGUGAAAGCCCCGGGCUCAACCUGGGAACGGCAUCCGGAACUGUCAAGCUAGAGUGCAGGAGAGGAAGGUAGAAUUCCCGGUGUAGCGGUGAAAUGCGUAGAGAUCGGGCGGAAUACCAGUGGCGAAGGAGGCCUUCUGGACUGACACUGACACUGAGGUGCGAAAGCGUGGGUAGCAAACAGGAUUAGAUACCCUGGUAGUC